AGAGUUUGAUCCUGGCUCAGGAUGAACGCUAGCGACAGGCCUAACACAUGCAAGUCGAGGGGCGAGCGGAGAGGUAUCAAUACCUUUGCCGGCGACCGGCGCACGGGUGAGUAACACGUAUGCAAUCCACCUGUAACAGGGGGAUAACCCGGAGAAAUCCGGGACUAAUACCCCAUAAUAAUGGGCGCUCCGCAUGGAGAGCCCAUUAAAGAGAGCAAUUUUGGUACAGACGAGCAUUGCGCUCCAUUAG
rnacentral:rRNA from 1 species